CGCAGGUGUUCGCUGGCGCCCGGAUGUCUGAGCUCUGGCUCCGCUCUGGCUCCGGCUCCCUCCGCAGCCUGCGGGCGGGGCUCCCAGCCCAUCCGGAGCCUCGCGGCGGCCCCGCCGCUCUGCCAGCAGCGCGGCCUCCCGGUUCCCAGCUUCCCGGCCUGGGGGGCCCCCCCAUCCAGCGGAGUUGCUGACCCGAGUGCUCUCCCGCUGCCCCCAGCUGCGCUCGGGCCGCUGCAGCCUCGGCGCGCCCCCACCCCGCUUCCUGGCUCGGCAGAUUUGCCCGGGCCGGGCGGCCGCCCUGGAUCGCACCCCCGUUCCUUCCUUCCUUCAUUCUUUCAGGCAGCUCGCAUUCCUCGAGCGCCUGCGACGUGCCCCGCACAAGGCCUCGCCGACCUUCCGAGUGUGGCCCCAGGCCCACCGGGGUCCUCUGGGAAGCCUCUGCCCUUCGCCCCAGUUCUCCCUCCCCACCCCGCCCGACUCUCCUCUCUGAUGUCCUCUUUCACUUAGAGUGUAGCAUUUAAUUGUUCUCUGAUUAUUUCUCCUGUUAAGGGUCAGUCAGUGGCAUGGUCAAGGGAUCACUUUGUGACCGAAAUCAGGGGUCAGUCUGAAAGUAGAGUGAGGGGUCAGAGUGCGGCCAGAAUUGGGGUUCAGCCAGACUGCGGCAAAGUUUGAAGAUAGUGUGGGUAGAAGUUGGCAGUGGUCAGUCUGUGGCUGGGCUUAAUAGACAGGGUGUGAGGGUUAAUCUGAAUAACAUCAGCGGCCAAGGUUAGUGAGUCAGUCUUUGGGUAGGGUCAGUGGACAAUCUGGAUCAGGCUAGUAGGUCUCCCAGAGACCAGGAUUUGGGGGUUGCCUUUGACAAGCUAGAUAAGGGGAAGGGGGCGCUGGAGCUCCCUGAACUCAGAUUCAUAUCCUCCCAUGGCUGGGGGCUGACCAUAGCCUCCUCCUGCAUCACCGAGGCUGUGGAGCUGGCCUUCCAUCUGGGACGCUCCGUGUCAUCAACACCACCCUGCUCCUACCUUGUGCCAGAUGCUGGAGGCAAAACCCUCAUUGGGCCAGGCUGUGGUCAGACUGGCAGUAACACUGGCCAUGGCAGGGCGGCCUUAGGCUUCCCAGGGACCCAGCCUUGGAGCCACCCAUGUUUAACAGCUGGUGGAAGGACAGAGCUUCAGACCCAGGCGCAGCCUGACCCAGAACCAGCUCACUCAUGAAAGCACCCCUCUCUAGAAGAAAAUGGGAGUUGGGGGUUGGCGGUUGGGGUAGGAAGGACAUGACCCAGAGGCCAGAGGACCUGGAGGCCAAAUGUGGUGUAAUCACAGCACGUGGAAUCGUAGUUCUCUGACCAGGGAUGGAACCAGCGAUCCCUGCCUUGGAAGCUCGGAGUCUCAACCAUUGGACCACCAGAGAAGUCCCCUGUGAAUCUUUUUGUAGACUUCCAGCUGAACAAACACUAUUUGGCCACUGAAAUGCCUUUGAGUGUCCACAGUUCCCCACUUGCUAGCAGUGUGAACUUGGACAAAUUCCUCAACUUCCUUCCUCCUCAGUGUCUGUACCUAUAAAAUGGGGAUAAUAAAAGUUUCUACUACAGACAGUUGUGAGGGUUAAAUUAACACAUACGUUCUUUAGAAUGUUCUCAUACAUUCUAUAGCCAUCUGUGCUUUUUAAUCAUAAUGUCUCCAUUUUUUAAAAAAAAAUAAAACUGACACUUCAGGAAGAUGUACAGAUUUUUAUCAUAUGGUUUUGUGAGACUCAGAGCCCAGCCAGCUUCACACACAGCCACACAUGUGUGUGUGCACCACACACACACAUGUGCAUGCAGACAGACGCACACACACUUUGAAGAAGGCCAUGCUACGCUGUGCUGCUUCUCAAAUGGGCGGAAACAAGCCUUCUUACCUUGGAGAGCUGCUGCUCGCUGCCUCCCACUCACCAUGCUCUGCAGAGGGAGACAAGAAGCUGUGCUCCCCUCGCAGCAAGAGAAUUCCUUGGCAAAACUGACUUGGGAGGAAGCCCUGGCUCCAGCUCUUAACCCAACUAUCAGAGCCGAGGUCUCAGUCCUGGUUCUCUCCCCUCCUUGCUGUGCAACCCUGGGCAUGUAGCUUCACCUUUCUGAGCUUUGGCUUCUCAUGUGUGAAAGGGGGCUGACUGUUUCUACCUUUCAGGGUUGUUGUGAGGAUUAGAGAAAUGCACAAAAAGUGCCUGGCAUGUAGAGUUCUUUGUAAAUGGCAGUUCUUCAAAGCCUGGCUGGUUCUUUAAGUUGGUAAGAGCUAUCUUUUUUAUAUUCUUUAAUAGAACAGGGUUAUGGUCUUUGUGCCUUACAUCAUUAAUAUACUUUAUUGCUUUUUAAACACAUCUGUUAAUCCAAUAAAGGAUUUUAUCCUCCAAAAAUUAUUUUCUUUCCUAUUCUAUUCAUAUUGUACGAUGCCUGGGCAAGUCAGUGGAGCCCACUGAGCCUCAGGUUCCUCAUCUCCAUCACAAGGUUGUUUGGAGAAUUCAGUGAGACAGUGUAUGUAAAAGUGCUUUGUACAUUGUAAAGUCCAACAAGGGUAAGAGGUUACUUUUUGCACCAGCGCCCCCUCCCCCCUCACUAGGCUGAAUUCCUCAAACACAGGAGGGAGUUUUAUUUACCUUUGUAUCCCCUGCA